rnacentral:lncRNA from 10 species
GUCAGAGGAUAGGAGGAUGAGCAGUCUCCAUCUCAGUUCAGCACGGAGGUGUAUGCAGUUCUUCCAUCCCUCAGGCUCCUGUGGGGUGGCCUCUUUCCUAACACUCUGGUGUUCACAGGGCUCUGGUAACGUUCCUGCUUCCCUGGCCCCUUCAGGUGUAGAGAGGCUAAUGCCUUCUCACUGCUGCUAGUCACCAAGUACCUCCACAGCCUCAGUGGGUUCCCUUCAUUCUUGUGCAUUCUUUGUAGUUCUUCCCAUCAAGAAGUAGAAUCUACUUACCCUGUUCCUACCCCCACGCCCCCGAAUCUGGACUGGCUUUAUAAGUUGUUUUGACUAAUAGAAAAGCGGAAGAACUGAUGUUGCAAGACCUCAAGAACCUUUCAUCCUCUCUUCUCACUCUUGUGGUGCCCUGAAACAACCAAGCUGUAAAGCAGCCCAGGGUAACAGACCACGUAGAGAGAGUGCCAGCAUCUCAGCCACACCUGGCCCCUAACAGGCCAUCAGCCUAACGCAGCUGCUUGAGAAACCCAGGUGAGACCUGUCGAAGAACCAGCCAGGCAACCCACAGAAAACCUACUCAAUGUGAUGACGAUGAAGACCUUAAUGAUGAUCUAUUUCCUCUCAAUGAAUAAUAGUGCACAACACGGGCCAAUGAACACAGAAUUCUGGUGGACCUACUAUGCCUGGGAUUUCAGUGAGACUCAAAGUGAGUGCAAGUCACCAUCAUAAAGAUUCAAUAUUCAAGACCACGAAGAAGAACCCAGACCAGGGAUUGCUUCAUUUGGAUUCCACCUACCGCAGUUGUUACAUCUAAGUAGGGACAACGAAAAUCUCCUGCUAUGGUCUUGAUCCUAGUCAGUAAAAGAGCAAAUUCCAAGCCUCCUAAGGGGCAUUUUCAUCCUUCCCCAUCUGUCCUUACAGAUAAGGAAGAGAUUCCAGGAAUGACUCGGUUCCUGGAACCUAGAAUUAGUCCCCCUUGUUUUCUUUAUCUAUCCAAAUCCUGUCUUAGGGAUCAACUUUCACAAGCUUUCUCUCCUUAAAGACUUUCACCUCGAAUUACCUUUUUUUUUUGUCAUAUUCCUAUUCCUAUCUGGAGUCACACUCUUGAGAACCUUCUAUACUUUCGUCAUGCAUUUAUUAGCAGAUAUCUAUAAAGUUCCUACAGUGUGUCAGGCACUGUGCUAGGCGCUAGUGCAACAAUGAUGAAUGCUAUACACAUCCACCUCACCCUUUUAUAGUUUAUAGUAUCAUGGGGAGAUGGAGAAGUAGAUGCUCAAUAAACACAUUUUGUCUGAUGGGUAUACCUUGAAACAGCAAAAGUAAAGUCUGUUUCAUCAUAAUUUGAUCCGUUCACAUUUAUGGGCCAGAUCCUGUGGUAGACCUGGGAUACAAAGAUGAACUAAACAGAGACUCUGCUCUCAAGAGUUUAUAUAAUCUGCAUUUGCAGGUUAUAAUAAACUCUGAUCUGCAUCUUUGGGCAAAAGCAUUCUUUUCUAGGUAUCUUAACCACGAUCUCAAGUAUGUGCUCUGUGUGUUUACUGACAUAUCAUCAAACACAGUCUGUAGGGAAAGUAAAUGAAAUACGAACCAAAGGCGCCAGUCCUUGGAGUGUUGUGGCUUCCUCUGCCUCGUAGAGAUAGAAAUUCAAAGGAGCAAAGAAGUAGCCAGGGGCUGGUUCAGAGCAGCUACGGCCAGUGACAUGUGGGCGGCAUUCACACUGCCCAUUCUUGGGUGAGCACCUGAGGAAAAAGCAAUUCAUCAUGAAAAAAUGCAAAGUAGGUGAGCGGAAAAUGAAGGUGUAGGGGUGCUGGGCUAAUGCUCCCUGAGUUUGGAGCAAUCCUUAGAAUCAGUCAAUCAAUGGUCCUGUGGGAAGAUGCAGAAAGGCCAUGGGUUUAACAUAACUGGUCUUGAAUAGUGAAUCCAGGGCCAUGGAGCCCAGGCGGCCACUUUCCCCACCCUCCGCCCCCAACCCCCCACUGCCAGGUUCUGCUCUAAAAUCUGGCAAAAAGGGGGCUUUAGGAUCUCUCUUUACAACAUGGCAAAAAGCUGGUGUUUUAGGCAGGUCACACGUAUUCAAGCACCCAUGCCACCAGCUUGUGGUGGGAUACCCAGCAGAAGGAUUGUUUACCUCACCCUUGGAAAUAUUUGAAGUGAAAGAAAUCAAUGGGCUGUAGUUAAUGUCUCAAGAUCAUUGCUUGUCAUGGAAUGAAAUUUUUCACCUAUGACUAUGAGCGUAUCAGAAUAAAAUGUGCUUUUAUGUUUAAAUAAGGAAUAUUGCUAUAAAACUUAUUUGACUUACACGUUAGAAUAAGCACCUCCAAUAUCACAGUCACAGGGAGAACACCCAUGGAGAUGAUUUCCCAGGCCCCAGUAUCCAACCUACAGAGAAAAAAUGCUCAGCUGAUUCCAGCUAUGAAGAUGCUGUUGCUCUGAAGUGCAACACUGAAAUCACUACAAUGCAAUUGCCACACGUCAAAUAGCCAAACAGCCUGCACCAUCUCAGAGAAACCUUCCUGGCCUAUGCGCUUGGCUAAUGAUCUUCCAUGGACACAUCUCCCAUCUCCAGGAUUUGA